rnacentral:rRNA from 1 species
CGUAACGAUGUCGACUUGGAGGUUGUGCCCUGAGGCGUGGCUUCCGGAGCUAACGCGUUAAGUCGACCGCCUGGGGAGUACGGCCGCAAGGUUAAAACUCAAAUGAAUUGACGGGGGCCCGCACAGCGGUGGAGCAUGUGGUUUAAUUCGAUGCAACGCGAAGAACCUUACCUACUCUUGACAUCCAGAGAACUUUCCAGAGAUGGAUUGGUGCCUUCGGGAACUCUGAGACAGGUGCUGCAUGGCUGUCGUCAGCUCGUGUUGUGAAAUGUUGGGUUAAGUCCCGCAACGAGCGCAACCCUUAUCCUUUGUUGCCAGCGGUUAGGCCGGGAACUCAAAGGAGACUGCCAGUGAUAAACUGGAGGAAGGUGGGGAUGACGUCAAGUCAUCAUGGCCCUUACGAGUAGGGCUACACACGUGCUACAAUGGCGCAUACAAAGAGAAGCGACCUCGCGAGAGCAAGCGGACCUCAUAAAGUGCGUCGUAGUCCGGAUUGGAGUCUGCAACUCGACUCCAUGAAGUCGGAAUCGCUAGUAAUCGUAGAUCAGAAUGCUACGGUGAAUACGUUCCCGGGCCUUGUACACACCGCCCGUCACACCAUGGGAGUGGGUUGCAAAAGAAGUAGGUAGCUUAACCUUCGGGAGGGCGCUUACCACUUUGUGAUUCAUGACUGGGGUGAAGUCGUAACAAGGUAACCAAGGGCGAAUUCCAG